rnacentral:rRNA from 1 species
UACAGAGGUGGCUAGCGUUGUUCGGAAUUACUGGGCGUAAAGGGCGCGUAGGCGGCUUCGUAAGUCCUGUGUGAAAUCCCCCGGCUCAACUGGGGAACUGCACAGGAGACUGCGAGGCUCGAGUUCAGGAGAGGGAAGCGGAAUUCCGGGUGUAGCGGUGAAAUGCGUAGAUAUCCGGAGGAACACCGGUGGCGAAGGCGGCUUCCUGGACUGACACUGACGCUGAGGCGCGAAAGCUAGGGUAGCAAACGGG